UUAAAUUGAAGAGUUUGAUCAUGGCUCAGAUUGAACGCUGGCGGCAGGCCUAACACAUGCAAGUCGAACGGUAACAGGAAGCAGCUUGCUGCUUCGCUGACGAGUGGCGGACGGGUGAGUAAUGUCUGGGAAACUGCCUGAUGGAGGGGGAUAACUACUGGAAACGGUAGCUAAUACCGCAUAAUGUCGCAAGACCAAAGAGGGGGACCUUCGGGCCUCUUGCCAUCGGAUGUGCCCAGAUGGGAUUAGCUUGUUGGUGGGGUAACGGCUCACCAAGGCGACGAUCCCUAGCUGGUCUGAGAGGAUGACCAGCCACACUGGAAC
rnacentral:rRNA from 1 species